UACGAAGGGGGCUAACGUUGCUCGGAAUCACUGGGCGUAAAGCGCACGUAGGCGGAUUGCUAAGUCAGGGGUGAAAUCCUGGAGCUCAACUCCAGAACUGCCCCUUGAUACUGGCGGUCUCGAGUCCGGGAGAGGUGAGUGGAACUGCGAGUGUAGAGGUGAAAUUCGUAGAUAUUCGCAAGAACACCAGUGGCGAAGGCGGCUCACUGGCCCGGUACUGACGCUGGAGGUGA
rnacentral:rRNA from 1 species